AACGAACGCUGGCGGCAUGCCUAACACAUGCAAGUCGAACGAGACCUUCGGGUCUAGUGGCGCACGGGUGCGUAACGCGUGGGAACCUGCCCUUAGGUUCGGAAUAACUCCCCGAAAGGGGUGCUAAUACCGGAUAAUGUCUUCGGACCAAAGAUUUAUCGCCUUUGGAUGGGCCCGCGUUGGAUUAGCUAGUUGGUAGGGUAAAAGCCUACCAAGGCGACGAUCCAUAGCUGGUCUGAGAGGAUGAUCAGCCACACUGGGACUGAGACACGGCCCAGACUCCUACGGGAGGAAGCAGUGGGGAAUAUUGGACAAGGGGCGAAAGCCUGAUCAAGCAAUGCCGCGUGAGUGAUGAAGGCCUUAGGGUUGUAAAGCUCUUUUACCCGGGAUGAUAAUGACAGUACCGGGAGAAUAAGCUCCGGCUAACUCCGUG
rnacentral:rRNA from 1 species